GGCUGGGGGUGAAAGGCCAAUCAAACCGGGAGAUAGCUGGUUCUCCCCGAAAGCUAUUUAGGUAGCGCCUCGUGAAUUCAUCUCCGGGGGUAGAGCACUGUUUCGGCUAGGGGGCCAUCCCGGCUUACCAACCCGAUGCAAACUGCGAAUACCGGAGAAUGUUAUCACGGGAGACACACGGCGGGUGCUAACGUCCGUCGUGAAGAGGGAAACAACCCAGACCGCCAGCUAAGGUCCCAAAGUCAUGGUUAAGUGGGAAACGAUGUGGGAAGGCCCAGACAGCCAGGAUGUUGGCUUAGAAGCAGCCAUCAUUUAAAGAAAGCGUAAUAGCUCACUGGUCGAGUCGGCCUGCGCGGAAGAUGUAACGGGGCUAAACCAUGCACCGAAGCUGCGGCAGCGAACGUAUCACCCAAGACAACUUUACGGAGUUGACGAUUGACGGAGCGAAGCGACGUCAAAGCGUUCAUUAAAGUCGAGUUGGCUUAGGGAUACGUUCGUUGGGUAGGGGAGCGUUCUGUAAGCCUGUGAAGGUGUGUCGUGAGGC
rnacentral:rRNA from 1 species